CUCUUUAACGCUGCAUAAGUCCCAAAAGGAGGUAAAAAACAGAGAAAGGCCAGAAAAGGCCUGAAGAGGCUGACACGCCAUGACAACAGAGCAGAGAAACCUGCGGAGGAGAAGAAGGACACAUUUGUGGAGAAACUGGCGACUCAGGUGAUCAAAAACCUGCAGGUGAAGAUCAGCAGCAUCCACCUUCGCUACGAGGAUGACCUGUCAGACCCACAGCGCCCCCUGUCCAUGGGAGUCACACUGUCAGAGCUCAGCCUUCAGACCACUGAUGAAAACUGGAAGUCAUGUAUCCUGAACGAAGCAGCAAAGAUCAUCUACAAG